rnacentral:rRNA from 1 species
GUUAGGAAUAUUGGACAAUGGGCGCAAGCCUGAUCCAGCCAUGCCGCGUGAACGAUGAAGGCCUUCGGGUUGUAAAGUUCUUUAGCCGAUGAUUAUAAUGACUGUAUUCGGAAAAUAAGCCCCGGCUAACUUCGUGCCAGCAGCCGCGGUAAUACGAAGGGGGCGAGCGUUAUUCGGAAUCACUGGGCGUAAAGCGUGCGUAGGCGGUCUCGUAAGUUAGGAGUGAAAGCCCAGGGCUCAACCUUGGAAUUGCUCUUAAUACUGCAAGGCUAGAAUCUCGGAGAGGAUAGCGGAAUUUCCAGUGUAGCAGUGAAAUGCGUAGAUAUUGGAAGGAACACCAGUGGCGUAAGCGGCUAUCUGGACGAGUAUUGACGCUGAGGCACGAAAGCGUGGGGAUCAAACAGGAUUAGAUACCCUUGUAGUCC